ensembl:misc_RNA 7SK 7SK RNA
GCGUGUGAGGGCUCUCUGUCUAUGACACCGGUCACCCCAUUGAUCGCCAGGGAUGAUUCGACUGAUCUGGCUGACGAGGCGGGUGUAUUUUUCCUUCCUCACCACUCCAGGUGCCUCCUCCCAAAACUGCAUGCUCAACUGAAGAGCGUGACCUGCCCCACAUGCAUGCUCUGCCGUGAAAAGCGUGAACGACCCAAGGGACGAUCAUCCCUUGGCCAAGGGCAUAUGAGUAGCUGUGCUCCCCUGCCAGAACCUCCCCACACGCUCCCAAGGUCCAUAUGUAGGAGAAUGUAGGAUAGUCAAGCUUCCAAGACUCCAGACACACCAAAUGAGGCGCCACAUGUGGCAGCCUGCCUUUCUU